AGCGUAGACGGACUGGCAAGUCUGAUGUGAAAGGCGGGGGCUCAACCCAUAAACUGCAUUUGAAACUGUAGAGCUUGAGUGAAGUAGAGGCAGGCGGAAUUCCCCGUGUAGCGGUGAAAUGCGUAGAGAUGGGGAGGAACACCAGUGGCGAAGGCGGCCUGCUGGGCUUUAACUGACGCUGAGGCACGAAAGCGUGGUAGCAAACA
rnacentral:rRNA from 1 species